rnacentral:rRNA from 1 species
UACGUAGGGUGCGAGCGUUAAUCGGAAUUACUGGGCGUAAAGCGUGCGCAGGCGGUUCGCCAAGUCAGGUGUGAAAUCCCCGGGCUUAACCUGGGAAUUGCGCUUGAAACUAGCGGGCUUGAGUGUGGCAGAGGGGGGUGGAAUUCCACGUGUAGCAGUGAAAUGCGUAGAGAUGUGGAGGAACACCGAUGGCGAAGGCAGCCCCCUGGGUCAACACUGACGCUCACGCACGAAAGCGUGGGGAGCAAACAGG